AGGAGGAACAACCGCAGUGGCGGGGCCAGCUCUGGAAACCUGGAGUCAGCUCCCACGGUAACAAUUAGGAGCUCUCCGUCUGCAGGGCCUGGAUGCUCCGGGGCAGG
rnacentral:pre_miRNA from 1 species